GCCUGGGUGGCUCAGUUGGUUGGGCAUCUGUCUUCAGCUCAGGUCAUGAUCCUGGGGUCAUGGGAUCGAGUCCCAUGUGGGGCU
rnacentral:tRNA from 1 species